CCUGAGGAUCUGGCGUCCUGCGCAGCUGACUGGAGCCGCAUCUCCUUUGGACCUGCCGGAGCUUUGGGACAACAGGGGGUUAUGUCCACGCUGACAGGAGCCCAGUCUCCUCAGGACCCAACAGGAGGUGCUGCACUGAGGGAAGGUCAUGCACAGGAUCCAAGACUCGGUGGCUACUGGUGUACUCCUCCCACAGUGCCUCUUAAUAACAAGUGGAUUCCUACAUGGGUGAUUAGCAUCACAACUCUGGCUGGCCUUGGUCUGGGUGUACGUGUCUCACUGGUGGGUUUGGCUCCUGUGGGAACUUGGCUCCUUGCGGGGCUGGUGGAGGCUGGAUCUCUUCAGGACCCACUGUGGUCUCAGCUUCAGGACAACACUUGACCAACCAAGUCUACCCAGACAGGAGCCAGACAUCUUCAAGAAUCACCAGGAGAAUAGAUAAACAAGAUUAUACUGUAUAGCACAGGGAAAUAUAUAAAAGAUCUUACGGUAUCUCAUAGAGAAAAAAAGCGACAAUGAAUAUAUGUAUGUUCAUGUGUAACUGAAAAAUUGUGCUCCACACUGGAACUUGACACAACAUUGUAAAAUGAUUAUAAAUCAAUAAAAAAUGUUAAAAAAAAAAAAAGAAUCAUCAGGAGGCAUCGCUGUGGGAAUAAAAGGUGAGGAAAAAGUGGGGAGAGGCUUCCUGUGCAUGAUUACAACUGAGGGGGUCCAUUUUCAGAGGAUCCAGCAGAAGAGGGGCUUGAGGUGGAAAAUUUUUGAAUUUACUUGAUUUUGUGUUCAGUGUUGACAGCGUCUAGUGUCAUUUUUGGGGUAAGGUGCCCCAUGUUCUUGGCACCGUUUGUUGAGGGGACUGUCCUUUUCCCACUUUGUGUUCUGGGCUCCUUCGCCAUGGACUAACUGACAGCAUGAAGACGGGUUUGUUCCUGUGCUCCCUGUUCUGCGCCUCUGGUCCAUGUGCCUGUUUCUGUGCCAAUAUCUUACUGUAUCUCUGCUGGGGACUGUGGCUUCCUAGUGUCGUGUGAAGCCAGGGAGGGAGACGCCUCCAACUGAGUUCUCCCUUCUCAAGGUUACUCAGGCUAUUCCAGGUUCUUUUUUGUUCCAUACAAAUGGUAGGAUUUCUUGUUUU